UACGAAGGGUGCUAGCGUUGUUCGGAAUUACUGGGCGUAAAGCGCGCGUAGGCGGCUUAGCAAGUCAGGGGUGAAAUCCCACAGCUCAACUGUGGAAUUGCCUUUGAAACUGCUAAGCUUGAGUGUCGGAGGGGAUAGCGGAAUUGCUAAUGUAGAGGUGAAAUUCGUAGAUAUUAGCAGGAACACCGGUGGCGAAGGCGGCUAUCUGGACGACAACUGACGCUGAGGCGCGAAAGCUAGGGGAGCAAACAGG
rnacentral:rRNA from 1 species